GUGUGUGUGUGUGUUUGUGUCAGUAUUUCUGUCAGUGUAUGUAAAUGUACAUGCACAUGCACUGAUAGACAUACUGACACACACAUACAU